rnacentral:rasiRNA from 1 species
CAGCAUGAUGUCCCGGAACUUGGAC